rnacentral:rRNA from 1 species
AGUUUGAUCCUGGCUCAGAUUGAACGCUGGCGGCAUGCCUUACACAUGCAAGUCGAACGGCAGCACGGAGCUUGCUCUGGUGGCGAGUGGCGAACGGGUGAGUAAUAUAUCGGAACGUACCCUAGAGUGGGGGAUAACGUAGCGAAAGUUACGCUAAUACCGCAUACGAUCUAAGGAUGAAAGUGGGGGAUCGCAAGACCUCAUGCUCGUGGAGCGGCCGAUAUCUGAUUAGCUAGUUGGUAGGGUAAAAGCCUACCAAGGCAUCGAUCAGUAGCUGGUCUGAGAGGACGACCAGCCACACUGGAACUGAGACACGGUCCAGACUCCUACGGGAGGCAGCAGUGGGGAAUUUUGGACAAUGGGCGAAAGCCUGAUCCAGCAAUGCCGCGUGAGUGAAGAAGGCCUUCGGGUUGUAAAGCUCUUUUGUCAGGGAAGAAACGGUGAAAGCUAAUAUCUUUUGCUAAUGACGGUACCUGAAGAAUAAGCACCGGCUAACUACGUGCCAGCAGCCGCGGUAAUACGUAGGGUGCAAGCGUUAAUCGGAAUUACUGGGCGUAAAGCGUGCGCAGGCGGUUUUGUAAGUCUGAUGUGAAAUCCCCGGGCUCAACCUGNGAAUUGCAUUGGAGACUGCAAGGCUAGAAUCUGGCAGAGGGGGGUAGAAUUCCACGUGUAGCAGUGAAAUGCGUAG